rnacentral:rRNA from 1 species
UACGUAGGUGGCAAGCGUUGUCCGGAUUUACUGGGCGUAAAGGGCGUGCAGGCGGUCUGUUAAGUGCAGGGUGAAAGCUCCCGGCUCAACUGGGAGAGGUCCUUGCAUACUGGCGGACUUGAGGGGGUAGAGGAAAGUGGAAUUCCCGGUGUAGUGGUGAUAUGCGUAGAUAUCGGGAGGAACACCUGUGGCGAAGGCGGCUUUCUGGGCCCUACCUGAACGCUGAGACGGCGGAAAAGCGUGGGGAGCGAACCGGGAUUAAGAU